GAGAGUGGGUAGUCCGCACGAGCGCACCUUACUUUUAGUUGCUACCAUUUAGUUGGGCACUCUAAAGGAACUGCCAGUGAUAAGCUGGAGGAAGGUGGGGAUGACGUCAAGUCCUCAUGGCCCUUAUGUGUUGGGCUACACACGUGCUACAAUGGUAUUUACAGUGGGAUGCAAAGAGGCAACUCCAAGCCAACCCUCAAAAAAUACCUCAGUUCGGAUUGUACUCUGCAACUCGAGUACAUGAAGCUGGAAUUACUAGUAUCGCGGAUCAGCGCGCCGCGGUGAUACGUUCCCGGGUCUUGUACACACCGCCCGUCACACCAUGGAAGUUGGUUACACCUUAAGGCAAAGUGUAAAACCUUUGACUACGGUACGAUCAGCGACUGGGGUGAAGUCGUAACAAGGUAGCCGUAGGGGAACCUGCGGCUGGAUCACCUCCUUUCU
rnacentral:rRNA from 1 species